GUUCUUAUCUGGAGUCUGUUUGACAGGUGGAUCCAAGUCGCAACUUCCCUGAAGCUUACACGAAAUGAUUUUUAAAGUUAACAGUUUUAGAUACAUUGGCAUCACCACUGUUUGUGAUCUGCACUGAAGUCCUCAUUAUAGAAAAAGCAGUUAACCAGUGUCUGCAAACAGCUGGAGUUGACCCACGUCUUUGAGCCAUUGCAAAAGCUUGGGGACCCCCAAAGUGAGUCUGGGUUAAAAGCAUGAAUGCUCUUUCCUCUGUCCCUGGCUGGAUAGUUUGGUCAGCAACGUGUUCAGCACAAGGAGGAGCACUGUGUAACAGUGAUCAGUGCUUUUCCAAAGCUAGAUUAGUACCUUAUCAGAGGGCUGCAGAGAUGGCUCAGCGGUUAAGAGCACUGACUGUUCUUCUGAAGGUCCUGAGUUCAAAUCCCAGCAACCACAUGGUGGCUCACAGCCAUCCAUAAUGAGAUCUGACGCCCUCUUCUGGUGUGUCUGAAGACAGCUCCAGUGUACUUAUUUAUAAUAAUAAAAAAAUCUUUGGGCUGGAGCAAGCGGGGUUGACCAGAGCGAGCAUAGGUCCUAAAUUCAUUUCCCAACAACCACAAGAAGGCUCAUAACCAUCUGUACAGCUACAUAAAAUAAAUAAAUCUCUAAAAAAGAAAAAAUAGCUUAUGAGAACUCCACGAUUCAUGUUAAAACUCUGAACGUCUGAAGUCUUAGAAUAAUAACAACAUAGCAAGAAGGAAAGAAAUCUGAAACUUUACAAAUUUUGUUAUAUAUUUUAAAUUGUUUUCUUAGAGCCACACAAUUUAUUUAACUUUCACAUCCUUAGACCUUUACACGUGCAUUUAUAUACCCUGAAUGUCCCUAGACCCUCACAACUUUUAUAAACUCCAAAUAUUUUUUAAUUUAGUUAUUUACUAUGAACCAUAGGUGGUUGGUACCGAGAGCAGUCAUUGAAAAGCAAGUUGUGCUGGGUGGUACUGGCACACACCUGCAGAGGCUGGUGGACCUCUGAGUUCAAGACCAGCCUGGUCUACCGAGUGAAUUCCUGGACAGCCAGAGCUGCACAGAGAACCCUGUCUGGAAAAGACCCUGCCUCUUUCUGUCCCCCCCCCCAAAAAAAGGAAAAAAGGGCAAAAUUUACAAAUAAAGGAAUAAUAAAAGUUACAUUAAAAACC
rnacentral:lncRNA from 1 species